GACGAACGCUGGCGGCGUGCUUAACACAUGCAAGUCGAACGGGCCUGUCUUCUUUUUUUGGGGGGGGUUGAGUGGCGAACGGGUGAGUAUCACGUGAGUAACCUGCCCUUCGGUCCUGGAUAACCGCUUGAAAGUGCGGCUAAUACGGUGUGUUCCGGUUGGUCCGCAUGGGCUGGUCGGGAUAGAUUCACUGUUUUUGGUGUUUCGGCGGGGGAUGGGCUCGCGGCCUAUCAGCUUGUUGGUGGGGGGAUUGCCUACCAAGGCGGGGACGGGGAGCCGGCCUGAGGGGGUGGGCGGCCAACAUGGGACUGAGGUACGGCCCAGACUCCUGAGGGAGGCAGGAGUGGGGGGUAUUGCAAAAUGGGCGGAAGCCUGAUGGAGGGACGUCGCGUGAGGGAUGGAGGGCUUCGGGUUGUGAACCUCUGUUUCCGGUGGUGAAGGCCCUGUGCGUGUGGGGGGGUUGACGGUAGCCGGGGAUGAAGCGCCGGCUAACUACGUG
rnacentral:rRNA from 1 species